UUAUAUCAGAAGUAUACUACAAGUAAACUUAUAAGUAUACUUUCAAGGAGAAAAGUAUACUCAACUAUAUCAGGAGUACACUACAAGUAAACUUAUAUUGUUACUUUUAAGUAUACUUCCAAGGAGAAAAGUAUACUCAAUUAUAUCAGAAGUACACUACAAGUAAACUUAUAAGUAUACUUUCAAGGAGAAAAGUAUACUCAAUUAUAUCUGAAGUACACUCCAAGUACACUUGUGAGGUUACUUUAAGUAUACUUUCAAAGAGAAAAGUAUACUCAAUUAUAUCAGAAGUACACUACAAAUAAACUUAAAUUAUUACUUUGAAGUAUACUUGUAGUAUACUUCAAGUAUACUUUUAGUGGCCCAAUUUAGUCCCAAGGAGUAUACUUCUAAGUAAACUUUAAGAACAAGUAUGCAAAUAAACUUCUGUACACUUAAGUAUACUUGAAAUUAGAUACUUAAAGUAUACUUCUUUUUCGUAAGGGUGACGCAGCACUAGUUGACAGACAGCAUUACAGCGUGAAAUCUAGCACAGCGUGACCCGGUUCCGUGAGGAAUUCUGUUCAGGAGGUCGCAUUUCAGGGUCUCCACAUCAUAUGUGACUGACUUUUACGUUAUAAUAACAUCACACACUAGGAAUGUUAUAAAGCGCCUAUAUGGGACAGUUUCUUUUGUAUUUUAUCUGACUUUAUAAACAUCAAUGUGCUUCUAUUUUUUUUCAGGCUAAAUCUACCCAAGACACUGACUGUCAGACUGAUUUAGUAAUCUGCAAGAAUGCACUUGUCCAGGCUGACGUGGUGUUACCCGUAGCAAAGAGCUCACAGCCUCAGUGUCUUGUGACACAGGGACCAUGACAGAAACUCAUCUUCCAGAAGGUCCCAGAGCAUCCACACCUCCUGAAAAGACCAAGGUGUGAGGUGUCUGCUGUUGAUUCCAGCUUCCACCUCAGUGACAGUGCAAGCUCAGUGAACUGUUCAAGGUAAAAAAAUUAAAACAUUUCUGAAUUUUUAAGAUAUUAACAAUUAAAUAAGUAUGUGAUUACAUCAUGACGGAGGCUACUGAUUCUGGCCCUGUGACACUUGGUGGUCACCACCAGGUGGUGACGUGUGAGCUGAUUCACCUGGACACUCAGCAAAAUAUGGACUCUACACCAUGAGGCAGGCACACGUUAAUAACUCUAUAAGAGCACAUAAGCCUGGCUGAUCACCUGAUAACUCCUGUCAUCUGGUUAUGACAGCAUGAGGAUGUCCUCACACACCUGUAACCUAUCAGCUCAUCUAGCAGAAUAGAGAGAGAAGAGACAACACCACAUCUCCUGUUCCUGGAAAGCCUUCAGCCAUCCUUCGAUGACUGAGAACCUCCAUCAGCUCUGUCUCCUGUCUGCCUACAAUUAUUAUAAUAAAUAUUGUGUUUGACAAGUU